AGCAGUAGCCGCGGUAAUACGAAGGGGGCUAGCGUUGUUCGGAAUUACUGGGCGUAAAGCGCACGUAGGCGGACUUUUAAGUCAGGGGUGAAAUCCCGGGGCUCAACCUCGGAACUGCCUUUGAUACUGGAAGUCUUGAGUGUGGAAGAGGUAAGUGGAAUUGCGAGUGUAGAGGUGAAAUUCGUAGAUAUUCGCAGGAACACCAGUGGCGAAGGCGGCUUACUGGUCCACAACUGACGCUGAGGUGCGAAAGCGUGGGGAGCAAACAGGAUUAGAUACCCCGGUAGUCCCUGUCUCUUAUAC
rnacentral:rRNA from 1 species